rnacentral:rRNA from 1 species
GACGAACGCUGGCGGCGUGCUUAACACAUGCAAGUCGAACGGUGAAGCGCCUUCCUUUUUGGUGGGUGUGGAUGAGUGGCGAACGGGUGAGUAACACGUGAGUAACCUGCCCCCUUCUUCUGGAUAACCGCAUGAAAGUGUGGCUAAUACGGGAUAUUCUGGGUCUGUCGCAUGAUGGGUCUGGGAAAGAUAUUGUUUCGGUGGGGGAUGGGCUCGCGGCCUAUCAGCUUGUUGGUGGGGUGAUGGCCUACCAAGGCGGUGACGGGUAGCCGGCCUGAGAGGGGGGCGGGCCACAGGGGGGAGGGAGCCGGCCCGGGACUCAUAGGGGGGCCAGAGGGGGGAAAUAUGGCACAGGGGGCGCAGGCGUGGGACGGCGCGCCCGGGGGGGGGAGGGGGCCCUGGGGGUUGUGACCUUUUUCGGACAGUGAAGCAGCCCUGCCUGUUUUGGGGGGGGUUGGAGGGGAGUGGAUAAAAAAGCGCGGGCUAACUACGUC